AUUCUACUCCCUCCGUUGCACAAUAUAUACAUGCCUUCUAUUUGUCAAAAUAUAUAUGUAUCUAGACAUGUUUUAGUAUAUAGGUACAUCCAUUUUUGGACAAAUGGAAGUUAAGUAUUUUUGAACGGAGGGAGUACACA
rnacentral:pre_miRNA from 1 species